GAUGAACGCUGGCGGCGUGCCUAAUACAUGCAAGUCGAGCGAACGGACGAGAAGCUUGCUUCUCUGAUGUUAGCGGCGGACGGGUGAGUAACACGUGGAUAACCUACCCAUAAGACUGGGAUAACUUCGGGAAACCGUAGCUAAUACCGGAUAAUAUUUUGAACCGCAUGGUUCAAAAGUGAAAGACGGUCUUGCUGUCACUUAUAGAUGGAUCCGCGCUGCAUUAGCUAGUUGGUAAGGUAACGGCUUACCAAGGCAACGAUGCAUAGCCGACCUGAGAGGGUGAUCGGCCACACUGGAACUGAGACACGGUCCAGACUCCUACGGGAGGCAGCAGUAGGGAAUCUUCCGCAAAGGGCGAAAGCCUGACGGAGCAACGCCGCGUGAGUGAUGAAGGUCUUCGGAUCGUAAAACUCUGUUAUUAGGGAAGAACAUAUGUGUAAGUAACUGUGCACAUCUUGACGGUACCUAAUCAGAAAGCCACGGCUAACUACGUG
rnacentral:rRNA from 1 species